GACGAACGCUGGCGGCGUGCUUAACACAUGCAAGUCGAACGAAGUGGCGAACGGGUGAGUAACGCGUAAUCAACCUGCCCUUCAGAGGGGGACAACAGUUGGAAACGACUGCUAUUACCGCAUACUGAAGGAGGGGUAUGCGUCUGAUUAGCUGGUCGGAGGGGUAACGGCCCACCAAGGCGAUGAGCAGUAGGCGGUCUGAGAAUGGUGACGGCCAAAUUGGGACUGGAACAAGGCCCAAACUCCUAAGGGAGGCAACAGGGGGGAAACUUUGGCAAAGGAGGAAAGGCUGGCGGAGGAACGCCGCGUGGGUGAUGACGGGCCUCGGGUUGUAAAGCUAUGUUAAUCGAGACGCGGUACCGGAAUAGAAAGCCACGGCUAACUACGUGCCAGCCGCCGCGGUAAUUC
rnacentral:rRNA from 1 species